rnacentral:lncRNA from 1 species
AUUCUCGGGUGUUGGUAGAUCUCUCUGCAUCCCGGGCGCGGCUGGGUUGAGUGUUCUCUUAGGAAUGGUGGAGAACUGGGUCCUUGAGGAGUCACCGGGGAGACUGCUCGCACUGUUUGUGGUGCGACGGGCACUGGCCCAGGGACAGAGGGAAGAGAAGGGCCAGCCAGCGGCAGUGGAGUCGGCAGGCUGGCUGCCCACUCGCUUUCUCUCCUCACAAGACUCGCUUCCCCGGCCUUCGAGGAUCUCGAACGGACUAUAGUCUGGACUCGCUGGGCUGGAGGAAACUUGGCCGCUGGCCACCCGGAGGAGACUGAGAAGCCUUUGGUCAACAGGGCGCCUUUCCUUGAACCAAAACAAAACUUUCCGAAGCCGGAAAGGAAACGCCCAGUGUCGCCUGAGAGCCCUGGAGCUGCGCGAGACCCAGGCACUGAGUGCGGCCUCGGCCUCUGACCUCUAACACGCCGGGAACAAACCAGCUGGGGCGGCCCGCAGGCCUGCGGGAGCGGAAUGUGACCCGAAACCGACGGACUUCCUGACCCAUAGUCCAUAGUUCUCUUCAGCAACUUGAACAUUUUGGAAAAAGAAACAAGUCUUAACAUGCCACGACCUAAUGGAAAAACUAAAUCCCCUUCCUACACCUUGCUUUCCAAAAGUUAAAAAAAAAUAGUUAAACGCU